rnacentral:rRNA from 1 species
AAGUAAGGCGGGACACGAGAAAUCCUGUUUGAAGAUGGGGGGACCAUCCUCCAAGGCUAAAUACUCCUGAUUGACCGAUAGUGAACCAGUACUGUGAAGGAAAGGCGAAAAGAACCCCGGUGAGGGGAGUGAAAUAGAACCUGAAACCCUGUACGUACAAGCAGUAGGAGCGAGGGCAACCUUGUGACUGCGUACCUUUUGUAUAAUGGGUCAGCGACUUAUAUUUUGUAGCGAGGUUAACUGAAUAAGGGAGCCGAAGGGAAACCGAGUCUUAACUGGGCGUUGAGUUGCAAGGUAUAGACCCGAAACCCGGUGAUCUAGCCAUGGGCAGGUUGAAGGUUGGGUAACACUAACUGGAGGACCGAACCGACUAAUGUUGAAAAAUUAGCGGAUGACUUGUGGCUGGGGGUGAAAGGCCAAUCAAACCGGGAGAUAGCUGGUUCUCCCCGAAAUCUAUUUAGGUAGAGCCUUGAGCGGACACCUUCGGGGGUAGAGCACUGUUUCGGCUAGGGGUCCAUCCCGGAUUACCAACCCGAUGCAAACUGCGAAUACCGAAGAGUGAUACUCAGGAGACACACGGCGGGUGCUAACGUUCGUCGUGGAGAGGGAAACAACCCAGACCGCCAGCUAAGGUCCCGAAGUCUAUAUUAAGUGGGAAACGAAGUGGGAAGGCUUAGACAGCUAGGAUGUUGGCUUAGAAGCAGCCAUCAUUUAAAGAAAGCGUAAUAGCUCACUAGUCGAGUCGGCCUGCGCGGAAGAUGUAACGGGGCUCAAAUAUAGCACCGAAGCUGCGGCAUCAGAAUUUAUUCUGUUGGGUAGGGGAGCGUUGUGUAAGCGGAUGAAGGUGGCUCGAGAGGGUUGCUGGACGUAUCACAAGUGCGAAUGCUGACAUAAGUAACGAUAAAACGAGUGAAAAACUCGUUCGCCGGAAGACCAAGGGUUCCUGUCCAACGUUAAUCGGGGCAGGGUGAGUCGGCCCCUAAGGCGAGGCUGAAAAGCGUAGUCGAUGGGAAACGGGUUAAUAUUCCCGUACUUGGUAAAGCUGCGAUGUGGGGACGGAGAAGGUUAGGUAAGCGGACUGUUGGAUAUGUUCGUUUAAGCAGGUAGUUGGAAAGGGUAGGCAAAUCCGCUCUUUCAUACAACAACGAGACGUGAUGACGAGGCUCUACGGAGCUGAAGUUACCGAUACCCGGCUUCCAGGAAAAGCCACUAAGCGAAAGGCUUUACUAAACCGUACUGAAAACCGACACAGGUGGUCAGGUAGAGAAUACUCAGGCGCUUGAGAGAACUCGGGUGAAGGAACUAGGCAAAAUAGCACCGUAACUUCGGGAGAAGGUGCGCUUACAGUAAUUGUAGUCCCUUGCGGAUGAAGGUGAAGUAAGUCGAAGAUACCAGCUGGCUGCAACUGUUUAUUAAAAACACAGCACUCUGCAAACACGAAAGUGGACGUAUAGGGUGUGAUGCCUGCCCGGUGCUGGAAGGUUAAUUGAUGGUGUUAUCGAAAGAGAAGCUCCUGAUCGAAGCCCCAGUAAACGGCGGCCGUAACUAUAACGGUCCUAAGGUAGCGAAAUUCCUUGUCGGGUAAGUUCCGACCUGCACGAAUGGCAUAAUGAUGGCCAGGCUGUCUCCACCCGAGACUCAGUGAAAUUGAAAUCGCCGUGAAGAUGCGGUGUACCCGCGGCUAGACGGAAAGACCCCGUGAACCUUUACUAUAGCUUGACACUGAACAUUGAAUUUUGAUGUGUAGGAUAGGUGGGAGCCUUUGAAGCAGUGACGCCAGUCAUUGUGGAGGCGACCUUGAAAUACCACCCUUUAACGUUUGAUGUUCUAACGAAGUGCCUGAAACGGGUACUCGGACAGUGUCUGGUGGGUAGUUUGACUGGGGCGGUCUCCUCCCAAAGCGUAACGGAGGAGCACGAAGGUUUGCUAAUGACGGUCGGACAUCGUCAGGUUAGUGCAAUGGUAU